rnacentral:rRNA from 1 species
UACGUAGGGUGCGAGCGUUGCCCGGAUUUAUUGGGCGUAAAGGGCGCGCAGGCGGUCACGCACGUCCGUUGUGAAAUCGCUCGGCUCAACUGGGCGGGGUCAGCGGAUACGGCGCGACUGGAGCAAGCUAGGGGGCAAUGGAAUUCCCGGUGUAGUGGUGGAAUGCGUAGAUAUCGGGAGGAACGACCAGUGGCGAAGGCGGUUGCCUGGAGCUUUGCGUGG